UACGGAGGGAGCUAGCGUUGUUCGGAAUUACUGGGCGUAAAGCGCACGUAGGCGGCUUUUUAAGUCAGUGGUGAAAUCCUGGAGCUCAACUCCAGAACUGCCUUUGAUACUGAGGAUCUUGAGUUCGGGAGAGGUGAGUGGAACUGCGAGUGUAGAGGUGAAAUUCGUAGAUAUUCGCAAGAACACCAGUGGCGAAGGCGGCUCACUGGCCCGAUACUGACGCUGAGGCACGAAAGCGUGGGGAGCAAACAGG
rnacentral:rRNA from 1 species